AAUCUAUACGUCAGACAUUUUCGAAUUAAAUCUUUGAAUUGUUCCCAAGCUUCAUAUAGUGUUUCAUCCUCCAAUGGCCAAAAAGCUGUGAUAUCAUUUCUAAGUUU
rfam:Gossypium hirsutum cultivar TM-1 chromosome 5, whole genome shotgun sequence